rnacentral:rRNA from 1 species
CCUACGGGUGGCAGCAGUAAGGAAUAUUGCGCAAUGGGCGAAAGCCUGACGCAGCGACGCCGCGUGGGGGAUGAAGGUCUUCGGAUUGUAAACCCCUUUCGGGAGGGAAGAUGGAGCGAGCAAUCGUUCGGACGGUACCUCCAGAAGCAGCCACGGCCAACAUCGUGCCAGCAGCCGCGGUAAU